rnacentral:rRNA from 1 species
CGGGAGGCAGCAGUGGGGAAUAUUGGACAAUGGGCGCAGCAUGAUGCAGCCAUGCCGCGUGUGUGAGAAGGCCUUCGGAUUGUAAAGCACUUUUGUUGGGAGGAUGGUCAUUGAGUUAAUACCUUGGUGUUUUGACGUUACCUUGCCAACAACCACCGGCAUACUUCGUGCCAGCAGCCGCGGUAAUACGUAGGGUGCGAGCGUUAAUCGGAUUUACUGGGCGUAAAGCGUGUGUAGGCGGUUCGCUAAGUCGGAUGUGAAAGCC